UACGUAGGGUGCAAGCGUUAAUCGGAAUUACUGGGCGUAAAGCGCGUGUAGGCGGGUCGGUAAGUCUGCUCUGAAAGUCCAAGGCUCAACCUUGGGAUGCGGGUGGAUACUGCCGACCUCGAGUCCGGAAGAGGCGAGUGGAAUUCCUGGUGUAGCGGUGAAAUGCGCAGAUAUCAGGAGGAACACCAAUGGCGAAGGCAGCUCGCUGGGACGUGACUGACGCUGAGACGCGAAAGCGUGGGGAGCAAACAGG
rnacentral:rRNA from 1 species